UACGGAGGGUGCAAGCGUUAUCCGGAUUCACUGGGUUUAAAGGGUGACGUAGGUGGGUUGGUAAGUCGUGGUGAAAUCCCUGAGCUUAACUCAGGAACUGCCGUGGAUACUAUCAAUCUUGAAUACUGUGGAGGUAAGCGGAAUAUGUCAUGUAGCGGUGAAAUGCUUAGAUAUGACAUAGAACACCAAUUGCGAAGGCAGCUUGCUACACGGUUAUUGACACUGAGGCACGAAAGCGUGGGGAUCAAACAGG
rnacentral:rRNA from 1 species